rnacentral:misc_RNA from 1 species
AUAGUCACAAAGAUAACAGUUGAUGCAGGUAUUGCAUUAGAACAGUUUUCAUCAGUGCAGUAAAGGGGAAAAUAUAUAACUGUUGUGUGACAAAAAAAAAUAAGAAGAAUGGAUUUUUCUGAAAAAUUGCCAAAGAAGGAGGAAAAAUCAUCACACUCGUGUGAUAUCUGUCAUAAGACAUUUUCUCUGAAGGGUAACCUUACCCAUCAUAAACUGAUUCACAGAAAGAGGCCACAUUAUUGUGAUACCUGUGGUAAAUCUUUCUCUCAAAUGCAUUUAUUAACCACCCACCAACGCAUUCACACUGAAGAGAAACCAUACGAAUGUCAUAUUUGUGCCAAAUCAUUCGCAGUAAAAAAUAGCUUAAUCAAACACAUAGAUAUUCAUACAGGUGAAAAGCCAUAUCACUGUGAUAUCUGUGGUAAGUCAUUCUUGCGUAAGCAUUCCUUGGUUGUUCACAAACAUGUCCAUACUGGAGAAAAGCCACAUGCCUGUGACAUCUGUGGUAAAUCUUUCUCUCGAGUACAUCAUUUGAUUACUCACAAGAAUUUCCAUAUAGGUGAAAGACCAUAUAGAUGUAAUAUCUGUGGUCAGUCGUUCAUUUUGAAAAGUCACUUAAAUGGUCACAAACGUACUCACACAGGUGAAAAACCAUAUCACUGUGAUAUCUGUGGUAAAUCAUUCUCCCAGACGAACGGCCUAACCAGUCACAUUCGUAUUCAUACAGGUGAGAAACCCUUUCAGUGUAAUAUUUGUGGUGAGUCAUUCUCUGAAAGGGGCAAUUUAGCUAAACACAAAUACCUUCAUACGGGGGAGAAGUCUUAUCACUGUGAUAUCUGUGGAAGAGCAUUCUUUCAAAAAGUACACUUAAAUUCUCACCUACGUAUUCAUACUGGAGAGAGACCGUAUCCCUGUAAAAUCUGUGAUAAAUCUUUCAGUAACAGAAGCACAUUAACUGUUCACAAACGUGUUCAUACAGGAGAAAAACCAUAUCACUGUAAUAUCUGUGAUAAAUCAUUCUCUGUAAGAAGUGCUUUAACUACUCACGAAUGCAUUUGUUACAGGUAAAAAAUCACACUUGUCAUGUCUGUAGCUAAUCAUUUUCUGAAAAUAGUGAUUUAAUUAAACACAGAUAUAUUCAUUGUAAAGCAAAGCUAUAUCACAGUUAUACCUGUGGAAGGAAAUUCUUUGUAAUAAAUGACUCAUCUAAGUAUAAAGAUACAUUUUGUGAAGUGGGUGGUAAAUGAACAGAGACAUCAGCACUCUAAUGUUGUCAGCGACAUGACAACUUCUUCAAUUCUGGUUCCACAAUAAAAUAUGUCCAGUACAAUGUAGGCAGUCAUUAAAACCAUCCAACAAAAAUGGAAAAUAGAAGUGAAGUGUUUUUCCUGACUCAUUGAGGAUUUUGAAUGAAGCUUUCCUUUUUGUUGUGGUAGCAUUAAUUAUUAAUUUAUUAAAUAUAUUGUAUUGGUUAUUGAUUGAUUAGCUAUUAUUAAAAUUACUUGUGUUUUAACA